AAAGCUCUGUGAGGAAGACUUCUUAAGAGGUGCAGGCAUGGUUGUGCACUCUGCAGAAGGUUAUACUUUGAAGCCACCAAGAUUCAUUCCAUGACUCCAUCAUCCUUCCACAGGAGUAUAUGCUGCUGGCCUGCUGACUUCUCUGGAGGGAUCACAUCACCUCACCACUGUGUCACUUUGCAGUGUGGCUGACCAAGAGCUUGUUCUUGUGGUGGGCUGCUCAUCAGCCCAGCCAUUUCCCUGUUGUUUUUGGUCAGUGGGAGAUUAGCAGACAUGACACAAGAAGAUGCUGCAGAUGGGCUUGGGCAUUGGAGCUUGUCCUCUUGCACCUAUGCCAUCACCAUGAGGAAAACAAGCCUGGGCAAGUCUACCAAUCCCAGGAUGAGGCUGAGGGUCCUGUGUAGCAGAUGAGCUGACAGCUGCUGGAGUCCCAGAUUAGGAAACAAAAAGAAGCAAGAAGGAACCAAAUCUGGAUUGUAAUGUGGAUGCCUAAUGAUUUCCCACUGAAACAUUUACAAAAUUGCCUGUCUGAUGAGAGGAAUGAGGAGGAGCAUUGUCGUGGUGAAGGACUCUGAUGAAGCUUUUCCAGGUGCAUUGAAGAUUCUGACUACUGAAAACAGAAAAUACAAAAAGAUUAAUGGGCCUGUUGCCAGAGGAUUCACUGCCGACAGACAUGAGCUGCCUGUUGCUGUUUAGUAUCUCUGCAUCUUCCUGAAGGCUGAGUUUUAUUAUUUGACUCCUCAUAUCCCUUUAAUCAAUAGGCUGCACAUAAAAUAAAAUCUACUGAAUCUCAGCUGAGGCUCUAGCAUGAUGCUUUCUGAGAUAUUUCAGAAUAUUUUUCCAAGUUUAUUUACAAGAUGAGUAUUUAUAUUCCAUUUUUUGGACAUAUUCAUUUGUUUUUGUUUUUGUCUCAGGAAGACAAGAGAAGGUAUUUAUAAGCUGUCAGUCUCACCUCACAAGGUCAGAACUGAAAGCUCUGUGUAGAAAAAUCCAAGUGCAGGAUUCAAAUAUGUUGUAUUGCUGUUGCUGACUUAUGACUGUGCCAUGUCAGAUGGUUUCAGCAACCUUGAGAGAUUAAG
rnacentral:lncRNA from 10 species